UGAGGAAUAUUGGGCAAUGCCCGAAAGGGUGACCCAGCAACGCCGCGUGGAGGAUGAGGGUCGUAAGAUUGUAAACUCCUGUUAGAGGGGAAGAAUAACUAAGUUUGGAGCUUAGUAUGACUGUACCCUCAGAGAAAGCCCCGGCUAACUACGUGCCAGCAGCCGCGGUAAUACGUAGGGGGCAAGCGUUGUCCGGAUUUACUGGGUGUAAAGGGCGCGCAGGCGGAAUGGAAAGUCAGUGGUGAAAUCCUACAGCUUAACUGUAGAACUGCCUUUGAUACUGUCAUUCUUGAGUUCGGGAGAGAGAGACGGAAUUCCAGGUGUAGUGGUGAAAUACGUAGAUAUCUGGAAGAACACCAGUUGCGAAGGCGGUCUCUUGGUCCGACACUGACGCUGAGGCGCGAAAGCGUGGGGAGCAAACA
rnacentral:rRNA from 1 species